GCCUGUGGGCAGGCCUAAGUCCAGGAGGGGAAGUGCCUAUGCGGAGGAUGACGAUGAUGAGGAUGAUGAAGAGCCCAAUCCCAGAUGCACACAACAGAGUCACGAGACAUAUGAGAGCGAGUGGAGAUCCGGAUCAGAUGGACAGACUCUCCCGUUGUUUCAAUUUUUUGUUAUUUGUUUUUCAGUUCAGAUGUUAUAUUGUGGAACAUUGUUUAGUUGUUUAUGUUUGUGUUGUGAAGACAAUGACAUUUUGAUUUAAUGAAUGAUGUGUGUUUUGAUUAAUUGGUAUGAUUUUUAAAGAUGAGAACAUGUAGGAUUGUGGUGCAAUGUGCUUAAACUGUGAUCUUGUGCAUGAGUUGAACUAAGACCAGAUACUGUGGAGUGUUUGAGAGCAUGAAUGAGUGAAACAGAUGAGAUGAUAAAUUUGUUUGGAUAUGGAAUUGAUUUUUGCAUGAUUGUGAUUCUACAUACACACUUUUGGUUAAGGAUGAGAAAGGCAUUGUUCUUGUUAAAUUGUAUAGCUACUGGCCAAAUAGCUAACCUUCAUACGUUAUAUAUGAUACCAUUGUGAACCCUUUUAAGCCUUGAAAAUUUUUUCUUCCACCGUGAGCCAAUUAGAUGAUAUCCUACCUUACACUUUAGAAGAGAAUGAGUAUUAUGUUUUGAGUGAAGGUAUGAUUGAGUUAAAGUUUGGGGGAAGAAAAAUGUUCAAUAAUAAAAAAAAAAAGUUGAUGAAAAGGGUACAUGAUUUGAAGAAUUGAAGGUUGUAACCAGAAAGAAUAUGGUAGGAACCGAUGAUGAAUAAUUUGGGAUUGUGAU
rnacentral:lncRNA from 1 species